rnacentral:misc_RNA from 1 species
GAAACCAGCUUAUGUGUGACUUCUACUGAUGGAGUAGAAAAUUCUAAGGGACGCAAGAGGCAAGGGGGUGAUCAGUCUGAUGUGGUUGAGCAACAGAAAGACUCAUUUUCAGUAGCACAUUUACCAUCUCAGGUCAGAAGUAUUAUAGAGCAUUUAUGGGAGAAUGAAGCUCCUCUUUGCACAUUCUUCUGUGAUAUUCAGAGCCAGCACCGUAAUACAUCUGGCAAGGUGGCUGGUCCCUCUAUGUUCUUUUUGGAUUCUAUUCUUGUACCACCAGUCAAAUUCCGUCCUCCAGCCAAAGGGGGUGACUCUAUUAUGGAACAUCCACAUACUGUUCUUCUUGGUAAGGUCAUUCAGGCAAAUAUAGCUUUGGGAAAUGCUCAUAUCAACCGGGCUGGAAGGUCUAAGAUCAUUAGCCGCUUGAUGGAUCUUCAACAAUCUGUAAA